UAAUUUGAUUCUUUACCUUUUAGCUGGAAUAUUACAAGCAAGGAAAAACAGAAGAGUUUGUAAAGUUGUUGGAAGCAGCAUGUAUAGAUGGCAAUUUGGACUACAGAGACCAUGAGAAAGACCAGAUGACUUGCUUGGAUACAUUGGCAGCCUAUUAUGUACAACAGGCUCGGAAGGAAAAGAAUAAGGACAAUAAGAAAGAUCUUAUUACACAGGCAACCCUGUUGUAUACCAUGGCUGAUAAAAUUAUUAUGUAUGAUUAGAACCAUUUGUUGGGAAGAGCCUGCUUCUGCCUACUUGAAGGUGACAAAAUGGAUCAGGCUGAUGCGCGGUUUCAUUUUGUACUCAACCAGUCUCCAAAUAAUAUCCCAGCCCUUCUUGGCUUUUUUUCAACAAAUCAAAACACCUCAUAAAGUUCCAAAAACUCCCACUGCACAUGAGGAAGAACUCUGCAGAGAACUGAACAGUGAGAAAGAGCAGCCAAAAUGCAACAGCAGAGUGCACACAGCAUAUACCAGAAACACUUCCUGAAGUGCCAGGCCCUGGACAGUGUAUGACCGCUUUUAAAUACAGCAUUACUCUGAGUUGCAAGAAACAUAACAAGCUUUCAUAACAAACAAAAGAAAGACACUUAGCCAAAAUUACAAGAUGGAGGAAUUCUCCCCAAAAGAAAGGUCAAGAAGAUAUCACAGCCAGGGACUUGCUCAAAGCAAAUAAAAGCAACAUAUCUGAACAAGAACUUAUAUCAACAGUUAUAAGACUACUAGCUAGUAUUGAAAAAAACAUAGAAGACACCAAAGAAACCUUUGCUGCAGAAAUAAAACACCUAAAAACUAGUCACACUGAAAUAAAAAAUGCUAUAAUGGAGAUGCAAAA